CCAUCCCAAGGCCUCCUCGCCAUCGGCCCACCGCUUCCUUGCCUUCUCCCACCUCCGCAAUUCUUCUUAUGGCACUGGGAUAGGAAAAUCCAUUUUUUCUGUUUUCUCUCUUAUCUCUUCCACUUUUAUCUAAUAUACAACCCGAUUCUCCUUUGAGGAACCAAUUGGCCUCUCAACUCCAAUUCCAGAGGCAUCCAAAUAUCUGAUGAAGCCUUAUUCGCCACCAUCUGCUCGUACAAGGUGAUUCUUUUGCUCUUCCAACUUUGCUUCUAUUGUCAACAUUUGAUCUCCAUCCCCUCAUCUUCUAUAUGUUCCCAUGUCAGGUAAAAUUUUUAUAGUGUGGCAAUUAAGUCAGGUCGGAUAAAAUACGGAUCGGGUUGGAUACAUGAUACAUAAAAAAAAUUUAUCAAUCCGAAAUAGGGCUGAAAUCGGAUCGGAUACAGAUCCAAUACUAAUAUAUCCAUAUCCAUAUUUUUUUUUGAUAAAUACAAAAACGGAUGUGGAUAUUAGUCCGAUGCAAAAAUUCACAUCCAUAUUUAUUUUAAAUAGAUAUGGAUACAAAUUGUAUACCAAAAAUAUAGAUAUAAAUAUGAAUAUAAGUUAGAUAAUUAAACAUUAUGACUACAUAAUCAAGAUAUUAUUAAGUAAGCAAUAAAUCAAGUUAAUAACAUAUUAAUGUAAUCUUUUCUUAAAAGUUCAUUAGUGCUAUAUAAAAUUAAAUAAAUGGAAUCGGAUAUUCAGGUAGUUGUCUAUCCAUAUCCAUAUUUUUUUUGGACAGAUAUAGAUAUGGAUAUGGAUAUGAAUGCUUAAAUUUCUAUCCAUAUUCUGAUAUAAAAAUAGAUUCGGAUGGAUAUUUAUCUGAUCUACCUUCACCCCUAAUCCGAAAACAACCUAUUUAUUAAAUGACUCAAAAAUCUGAAUCAGCACCUGACCACUUUAUUGAACCGAUUAUUUAGUCCGACCUACAAUAGGUUGGAAUAAUAAGUUGAAACAAGUAAAAUGGUUAAAUGAUUAAGUAUUGCCAUCCCUUAAGUUUUUACUUUUACAUUGGGAUUUAGAUUGCAAAGUUUGAUUUUGAUUCCAUUGAUUUCUUUUGUUAUGGGAAGCCUUAAUCAUAGGAUGCAAUCAAUCUUCUAAAGCUAUGCAUUCUAGUCUUUAUAAUGUCUCAGUCAGUGUGGUGUACGAAUAAAGCUCGUAUCUUUACAGCAUAAAAAAAUCAAAUCAGUGUUCGAUGACUCACAGUUACUGAGAAGACCCACCGAUCUGUGUACUAAAAUUUUCUCGUAGGAAUUGGAUAGUUGAAUCCAUGUGCUGCAGUCUGCCAAGUGUUUGGGCGAGCGGUUGUCUUAAGAGAUAUUCUUCAGUAGUUAGCUAGCUUUGUAUGUGAACAACUUUCUUUGGAGUGGGUUCUUUCAUUUUCAUUACUUUGUUUUGGAAGCAUUCAGUAUGUUAUUUACUAUUAUCUAAACUCUUUUUGCUGAAAUAAAUAGGAUGUAAGGAUUCUUCC
rnacentral:lncRNA from 1 species